UACGUAGGGAGCAAGCGUUGUUCGGAUUUACUGGGCGUAAAGGGCGCGUAGGCGGCGCGGUAAGUCACUUGUGAAAUCUCUGAGCUUAACUCAGAACGGCCAAGUGAUACUGCAGUGCUAGAGUGCAGAAGGGGCAAUCGGAAUUCCUGGUGUAGCGGUGAAAUGCGCAGAUAUCAGGAGGAACACCGGUGGCGAAGGCGGGUCUCUGGGCAGUAACUGACGCUGAGGAGCGAAAGCGUGGGGAGCGAACAGG
rnacentral:rRNA from 1 species